rnacentral:rRNA from 1 species
UACGUAGGAUGCAAGCGUUGUCCGGAAUUAUUGGGCGUAAAGAGCGCGCAGGCGGUAUGACAAGUCAGAUGUGAAAGAGGCCGGCUUAACCGGCAAGGGUCAUUUGAAACUGUCAGACUAAAGUGCAGCAGAGGAUAGUGGAAUUCCCGGUGUAGUGGUGAAAUGCGUAGAUAUCGGGAGGAACACCAGUGGCGAAGGCGACUAUCUGGGCUGCAACUGACGCUGAGGCGCGAAGGCUAGGGUAGCAAACAGG